CGCACGGGUGAGUAACACGUAUGGAACCUGCCCUAUGCAGGGGGAUAAGCGGAAGAAAUUCCGUCUAAUACCGCAUAACACCAUUUGGAGACAUCUCCAGGUGGUCAAAGGAGGCGACUCCGGCAUAGGAUGGCCAUGCGUCGCAUUAGCUAGUCGGCGGGGUAACGGCCCACCGAGGCGACGAUGCGUAGGGGUUCUGAGAGGAAGGUCCCCCACACUGGUACUGAGAUACGGCCCAGACUCCUACGGGAGGCAGCAG
rnacentral:rRNA from 1 species